UGAGGAACAUGACCUUCGGCGGGGGAUAGCCGGCCCAACGGCCGGGUAAUACCGCGUACGACCUUCCGGGGACAUCCCUGGAUGGUGAAAGCAGCAAUGCGCCGAUGGAGUGCCUCGCGGCCUAUCAGCUAGUUGGUGAGGUAACGCUCACCAAGGCGACGACGGGUAGCUGGUCUGAGAGGAUGGCCAGCCCACUAGUUGGGACUGAGACACCGGCCCAGACCUCCGUACGGGAGCAG
rnacentral:rRNA from 1 species